rnacentral:rRNA from 1 species
GUUAGGAAUAUUGGACAAUGGGCGAAAGCCUGAUCCAGCCAUGCCGCGUGAACGAUGAAGGCCUUCGGGUUGUAAAGUUCUUUAGCCGAUGAUUAUAAUGACUGUAGUCGGAAAAUAAGCCCCGGCUAACUUCGUGCUAGCAGCCGCGGUAAUACGAAGGGGGCGAGCGUUAUUCGGAAUCACUGGGCGUAAAGCGUGCGUAGGCGGUUUUGUAAGUUAGGAGUGAAAGCCCAGGGCUCAACCUUGGAAUUGCUCUUAAAACUGCAAGGCUCGAAUCUCGGAGAGGAUAGCGGAAUUUCCAGUGUAGCAGUGACAUGCGUAGAUAUUGGAAGGAACACCAGUGGCGUAAGCGGCUAUCUGGACGAGUAUUGACGCUGAGGCACGAAAGCGUGGGGAUCAAACAGGAUUAGAUACCCGUGUAGUCC